rnacentral:rRNA from 1 species
AGAGUUUGAUCCUGGCUCAGGAUGAACGCUGGCGGCGCGCCUAACACAUGCAAGUCGAACGGCACCCCUCUCCGGAGGGAAGCGAGUGGCGAACGGCUGAGUAACACGUGGAGAACCUGCCCCCUCCCCCGGGAUAGCCGCCCGAAAGGACGGGUAAUACCGGAUACCCCGGGGUGCCGCAUGGCACCCCGGCUAAAGCCCUGACGGGAGGGGAUGGCUCCGCGGCCCAUCAGGUAGACGGCGGGGUGACGGCCCACCGUGCCGACAACGGGUAGCCGGGUUGAGAGACCGACCGGCCAGAUUGGGACUGAGACACGGCCCAGACUCCUACGGGAGGCAGCAGUGGGGAAUCUUGCGCAAUGGGGGGAACCCUGACGCAGCGACGCCGCGUGCGGGACGGAGGCCUUCGGGUCGUAAACCGCUUUCAGCAGGGAAGAGUCAAGACUGUACCUGCAGAAGAAGCCCCGGCUAACUACGUGCCAGCAGCCGCGGUAAUACGUAGGGGGCGAGCGUUAUCCGGAUUCAUUGGGCGUAAAGCGCGCGUAGGCGGCCCGGCAGGCCGGGGGUCGAAGCGGGGGGCUCAACCCCCCGAAGCCCCCGGAACCUCCGCGGCUUGGGUCCGGUAGGGGAGGGUGGAACACCCGGUGUAGCGGUGGAAUGCGCAGAUAUCGGGUGGAACACCGGUGGCGAAGGCGGCCCUCUGGGCCGAGACCGACGCUGAGGCGCGAAAGCUGGGGGAGCGAACAGGAUUAGAUACCCUGGUAGUCCCAGCCGUAAACGAUGGACGCUAGGUGUGGGGGGGACGAUCCCCCCGUGCCGCAGCCAACGCAUUAAGCGUCCCGCCUGGGGAGUACGGCCGCAAGGCUAAAACUCAAAGGAAUUGACGGGGGCCCGCACAAGCAGCGGAGCAUGUGGCUUAAUUCGAAGCAACGCGAAGAACCUUACCAGGGCUUGACAUAUGGGUGAAGCGGGGGAGACCCCGUGGCCGAGAGGAGCCCAUACAGGUGGUGCAUGGCUGUCGUCAGCUCGUGUCGUGAGAUGUUGGGUUAAGUCCCGCAACGAGCGCAACCCCCGCCGCGUGUUGCCAUCGGGUGAUGCCGGGAACCCACGCGGGACCGCCGCCGUCAAGGCGGAGGAGGGCGGGGACGACGUCAAGUCAUCAUGCCCCUUAUGCCCUGGGCUGCACACGUGCUACAAUGGCCGGUACAGAGGGAUGCCACCCCGCGAGGGGGAGCGGAUCCCGGAAAGCCGGCCCCAGUUCGGAUUGGGGGCUGCAACCCGCCCCCAUGAAGUCGGAGUUGCUAGUAAUCGCGGAUCAGCAUGCCGCGGUGAAUGCGUUCCCGGGCCUUGUACUCACCGCCCGUCA